ensembl:lncRNA
UUCUGGAACUGGUGAGGAGAUUCCAAGGCUCCUAUCAUUUCACUCUGCUUUUAAGUGGAUUGGCUUUAUGUCUCAUGGAUCCAAGAUGGCUGACAUCAUGUCUUCCAGGCAUCAUGUCUUCUUUCCAGAAGAAAAGAAAGUGGAAGAAGAAAAAUGAAGCUGUAUCUGUUUAGAAAAGCAAAAGUUUUCCAAAAGCUUCCAGAGAGCAGUUACAGCAUUUCAGGCUCUUUCCAUCUCUCUGCUCUGCCCCUGCUGGACUGGCUUCAUUUUCAUACUGUUGAUAC